UACAGAGGUCCCAAGCGUUGUUCGGAUUCAUUGGGCGUAAAGGGUGUGUAGGUGGCGCCGCAAGUCAGGCGUGAAAUCCCCGAGCUUAACUUGGGAAUUGCGUUUGAAACUACGAAGCUGGAGUGUGGCAGAGGGAGGUGGAAUUCCACGUGUAGCGGUGAAAUGCGUAGAUAUGUGGAGGAACACCGAUGGCGAAGGCAGCCUCCUGGGCCAACACUGACGCUCAUGCACGAAAGCGUGGGGAGCAAACAGG
rnacentral:rRNA from 1 species